GCUGUGUUCGUGACGAGGAUUUGGGACCCUCUUAAUAAAGCUGUUCAAAAUAUCCACGAGUAUUACGAGUAUAAAAUAUUUAAAACUCAAAAGGGUUGGCGGCAUUUCACAUCAGUUAGGGAAACUUGGCGGUUAAUUCGAUGACCCCCGUUGUACUUUACCUUUAUCAUUAACCUUUUAUACCGCCGUUGUAAUUCAUCUAACUCGAAAAGAAAAAUUUUAGGUGGACACACUUGAUUAUAAAAAUGAAGUGUAUUAAUUCAGGUAAACGUGAAGGUUAUAAAGGGCUUAGCUGAGUUACAAUUGUUUUUCCACGUUGGAAUUAUGUCUGAAAAGUCGUACUAGAAAUCGAACUUGUUAGUAAAAUUAAAUGAGUGAGUUAAUUUGAAUUGUUAAGUUGAAAUGCGUACAAACC
rnacentral:rRNA from 1 species